AAUUCUUGACAUACCUGUCGCGAUUUCCAGAGAUGGAUUUCUUCAGUUCGGCUGGCCAGGAUAC
rnacentral:rRNA from 1 species